CGCUCGGCUCUGGCUGCGGCCGCGGCGCCUUUGUCUUUGAGGCGCCUGGGGGCUUCUUCAGCCUUGGCCUGGCCAGGGCCUGGAGGGGCUCCGCGCCCCCGGUUCUUUCCCCGGCGACACCCGGCUCUCUCCUCCCCAGACCUCUAUCCCCACCCACCGCUUUUCGGUUCCCAACCCUGCUCGGAGAAAACUCCCAACACCAUAGCAAAAGAAAUCCACUUCGGAAGCUGAGAUUUCAAACAAAAGCUGCCCGUACCCACAACUCUGAGUCUCCAGCCAGUAACCGAUUUCAACUUUCUCCCUAAGUGAAAGAAGGAAGGUUCAGUCCCUACAACAAAAGCUAACAAGCAGAAAAUUCUUCCAGGAACGGAUCACAAGUGAGCACAGCUCUGUCCUGUAUUCUAAGCUAGUAAUGGAGGUACAGUACGGGAGCUGAAGAGGUCUAGCAGACGUGCUCCAGUCAUCAACUGCAAACAUUUACCUUUGAAGCAACUGGAUGAGCCAGAUUGGUUAUGGUUUGCAUCCAUGUUCGACUUGAUAAAGGGGCAUAAUUUGUGAAAAGCCUUCAGGCAAAAAUCGUACUGAUUAUUCAAAACUAAAUAUUUUAACAUUUCAUUGAGUUAGCUAAUGAAUAAGAAAAACAUCGAAGGCUUCCUGCAGCUCAGAAAGAAUUCUAGUGGCGUGGAAAGCACAAGGAGCAAAGAACAAGAAACUGAAGGACUCCUGCUGAGCAGUUAUUCGCUUGUGAAUAUCUGAAAAUGUAUUCUUCUGUGCGUUAUUUAAAAAUG
rnacentral:lncRNA from 1 species